UAGUUUGGGAUAACUCCUCGAAAGAGGAGCUAAUACCGGAAAGACCACAGAGACAUAAGUCUCCGAGGUUAAAGGUAGGGACCGUAAGGCCUAUCGCUAAUGGAUGAGUCCGCGCACUAUCAGCUAGUUGGUGAGGUAAUGGCUCACCAAGGCUAUGACGGUUAACUGGUCUGAGAGGAUGGCCAGUCACACUGGAACUGAGACACGGUCCAGACUCCUACGGGAGGCAGCAGUGGGGAAUCUUGCACAAUGGGCGCAAGCCUGAUGCAGCAAUGCCGCGUGAGUGAUGAAGGCCUUCGGGUUGUAAAUCUCUGUCGGUUGGGACAAACGGGCCUACGGUUAAUAGUCGUGGGCAGUGAUGGUACCAGCAAAGGAAGAGGCGGCUAACUCUGUGCCAGCAGCCGCGGUAAUACAGAGGCCUCAAGCGUUGUUCGGAAUUACUGGGCGUAAAGGGAAUGUAGGCGGUCGCGUAAGUCAGAUGUGAAAGCCCUGGGCUUAACCCGGGAAGUGCAUUUGAUACUGCGUAACUUGAGUGCGGAAGAGGAAAGCGGAAUUCCAGGUGUAGGGGUGAAAUCCGUAGAUAUCUGGAGGAAUACCGAUGGCGAAGCAG
rnacentral:rRNA from 1 species